rnacentral:rRNA from 1 species
CCUACGGGUGGCAGCAGUGGGGAAUAUUGCACAAUGGGGGAAACCCUGAUGCAGCGACGCCGCGUGAGUGAAGAAGGAUUUCGGUAUGUAAAGCCCUAUCAGCAGGGAAGAAAAUGACGGUACCUGACUAAGAAGCCCCGGCUAACUACGUGCCAGCAGCCGCGGUAAUACGUAGGGGGCAAGCGUUAUCCGGAUUUACUGGGUGUAAAGGGAGCGUAGACGGCAGCACAAGUCUGGAGUGAAAUGCUGGGGCUUAACCCCAGAACUGCUUUUGAAACUGUGCUGCUAGAGUGCGGGAGAGGUAGGUGGAAUUCCUGGUGUAGCGGUGAAAUGCGUAGAUAUUAGGAGGAACACCAGUGGCGAAGGCGGCUUACUGGACUGUAACUGACGUUGAGGCGCGAAAGCGUGGGGAGCAAACAGGAUUAGAUACCCGAGUAGUC